AGCAGCCGCGGUAAUUCCAGCUCCAAUAGCGUAUAUUAAAGUUGUUGCAGUUAAAAAGCUCGUAGUUGAACUUCAGGCCUGGCUGGACGGUCCGCCCUCUGGGUGAGCACUGUCUGUGGUCGGGUCCUACCUUCUGGCGAAGCGGCAUGGCCUUAACCGGCCGUGGCGGGGAACCAGGACUUUUACUGUGAAAAAUUAGAGUGUUACAAAGCAGGCACGCGCUUGAAUACAUUAGCAUGGAAUAAUGGAAUAGGACAAUGGUUCUAUUUGUUGGUUUCUAGGACCGUUGUAAUGAUUAAUAGGGAUAGUUGGGGGCAUUAGUAUUCAAUUGUCAGAGGUGAAAUUCUUGGAUUUAUUGAAGACUAACUACUGCGAAAGCAUUUGCCAAGGAUGUUUUCAUUAAUCAAGAAC
rnacentral:misc_RNA from 1 species